AUUGAACGCUGGCGGCAGGCCUAACACAUGCAAGUCGAGCGGUAGAGAGGAGCUUGCUUCUCUUGAGAGCGGCGGACGGGUGAGUAAUGCCUAGGAAUCUGCCUGGUAGUGGGGGAUAACGUUCGGAAACGGACGCUAAUACCGCAUACGUCCUACGGGAGAAAGUGGGGGAUCCUCGGACCUCACGCUAUCAGAUGAGCCUAGGUCGGAUUAGCUAGUUGGUGAGGUAAAGGCUCACCAAGGCGACGAUCCGUAACUGGUCUGAGAGGAUGAUCAGUCACACUGGAACUGAGACACGGUCCAGACUCCUACGGGAGGCAGCAGUGGGGAAUAUUGGACAAUGGGCGCAAGCCUGAUCCAGCCAUGCCUCGUGUGUGAAGAAGGUCUUCGGAUUGUAAAGCACUUUAAGUUGGGAGGAAGGUCAGUAGCUUAAUACGUUGCUGAUUUGACGUUACCGACAGAAUAAGCACCGGCUAACUCUGUGCCAGCCGCCGCAGUAAAAC
rnacentral:rRNA from 1 species